CAUAUCUACGGGAGGCAGCAGUAGGGAAUCUUCCACAAUGGGCGAAAGCCUGAUGGAGCAACGCCGCGUGGGUGAAGAAGGUCUUCGGAUCGUAAAACCCUGUUGUUAGAGAAGAAAGUGCGUGAGAGUAACUGUUCACGUUUCGACGGUAUCUAACCAGAAAGCCACGGCUAACUACGUGCCAGCGGCCGCGGUAAUACGUAGGUGGCAAGCGUUAUCCGGAUUUAUUGGGCGUAAAGAGAACGCAGGCGGUCUUUUAAGUCUGAUGUGAAAUCCUUCGGCUUUACCGGAGUAAUGCAUUGGAA
rnacentral:rRNA from 1 species